rnacentral:rRNA from 1 species
CCUACGGGGGGCAGCAGUGAGGAAUAUUGGUCAAUGGCCGAGAGGCUGAACCAGCCAAGUCGCGUGAGGGAAGAAUGUCCUAAGGAUUGUAAACCUCUUUUGUCGGGGAGCAAAAAGGCUCUGCGGAGUCGUAUUGAGAGUACCCGAAGAAGAAGCCCCGGCUAACUACGUGCCAGCAGCCGCGGUAAUACGUAGGGGGCAAGCGUUAUCCGGAUUUACUGGGUGUAAAGGGAGCGUAGACGGCUGUGCAAGUCUGAAGUGAAAGCCCGUGGCUCAACCGCGGAACUGCUUUGGAAACUGUAUAG